rnacentral:rRNA from 1 species
UGGGGAAUUUUGGACAAUGGGCGCAAGCCUGAUCCAGCCAUGCCGCGUGCGGGAAGAAGGCCUUCGGGUUGUAAACCGCUUUUGUCAGGGAAGAAAUCUUCUGAGUUAAUACCUCGGGAGGAUGACGGUACCUGAAGAAUAAGCACCGGCUAACUACGUGCCAGCAGCCGCGGUAAUACGUAGGGUGCAAGCGUUAAUCGGAAUUACUGGGCGUAAAGCGUGCGCAGGCGGUUUUGUAAGACAGAGGUGAAAUCCCCGGGCUCAACCUGGGAACUGCCUUUGUGACUGCAAGGCUUGAGUGCGGCAGAGGGGGAUGGAAUUCCGCGUGUAGCAGUGAAAUGCGUAGAUAUGCGGAGGAACACCGAUGGCGAAGGCAAUCCCCUGGGCCUGCACUGACGCUCAUGCACGAAAGCGUGGGGAGCAAAACAGGAUUAGAUACCCUGGUAGUCCACGCCCUAAACGAUGUCAACUGGUUGUUGGGAAGGUUCCUUCUCAGUAACGUAGCUAACGCGUGAAAGUUGACCGCCUGGGGAGUACGGCCGC